rnacentral:rRNA from 1 species
UGGGGGAUAUUGCACAAUGGGCGAAAGCCUGAUGCAGCGACGCCGCGUGGGGGAUGAAGGCCUUCGGGUUGUAAACUUCUUUUGCUCUGAACAAGGCGCACCAUGGGGUGUGUUGAGUGUAGGGGUUGAUUAGCGCCGGCUAACUACGUGCCAGCAGCCGCGGUAAUACGUAGGGCGCGUGCGUUGUCCGGAAUUAUUGGGCGUAAAGGGCUUGUAGGUGGCUGGUUGCGUCUGUCGUGAAAGCUCAUGGCUUAACUGUGGGUUUGCGGUGGGUACGGGCUGGCUUGAGUGCAGUAGGGGAGGCUGGAAUUCCUAGUGUGGCGGUGGAAUGCGCAGAUAUCAGGAGGAAUACCGGUGGCGAAGGCGGGUCUCUGGACUGUUACUGACACUGAGAAGCGAAAGAAUGGGGAGCGAACAGG